AGUGAACGCUGGCGGUAGGCCUAACACAUGCAAGUCGAACGGCAGCACAGUAAGAGCUUGCUCUUACGGGUGGCGAGUGGCGGACGGGUGAGGAAUACAUCGGAAUCUACUUUUUCGUGGGGGAUAACGUAGGGAAACUUACGCUAAUACCGCAUACGACCUACGGGUGAAAGCAGGGGAUCUUCGGACCUUGCGCGAUUGAAUGCGCCGAUGUCGGAUUAGCUAGUUGGCGGGGUAAAGGCCCACCAAAGCGACGAUCCGUAGCUGGUCUGAGAGGAUGAUCAGCCACACUGGAACUGAGACACGGUCCAGACUCCUACGGGAGGCAGCAGUGGGGAAUAUUGGACAAUGGGCGCAAGCCUGAUCCAGCCAUACCGCGUGGGUGAAGAAGGCCUUCGGGUUGCAAAGCCCUUUUGUUGGGAAAGAAAAGCAGCAGGUUAAUACCCCGCUGUUCUGACGGUACCCAAAGAAUAAGCACCGGCUAACUUCGUG
rnacentral:rRNA from 1 species